CUCCGUUUGAUCCUGCCGGACCCGACUGCUAUCAGAGUGGGACUAAGCCAUGCGAGUCAACAUAGCAAUAUGUGGCAUACGGCUCAGUAACACGUAGUCAACAUGCCCAGGGGACGUGGAUAACCUCGGGAAACUGAGGAUAAACCGCGAUAGGUCAUCACUUCUGGAAUGGGUAAUGACUUAAAUCUAUAUGGCCCCUGGAUUGGACUGCGGCCGAUCAGGCUGUUGGUGAGGUAAUGGCCCACCAAACCUGUAACCGGUACGGGCUCUGAGAGGAGGAGCCCGGAGAUGGGCACUGAGACAAGGGCCCAGGCCCUAUGGGGCGCAGCAGGCGCGAAACCUCUGCAAUAGGCGAAAGCUUGACAGGGUUACUCUGAGUGAUUUCCGUUAAGGAGAUCUUUUGGCACCUCUAAAAAUGGUGCAGAAUAAGGGGUGGGCAAGUCUGGUGUCAGCCGCCGCGGUAAUACCAGCACCCCGAGUGGUCGGGACGAUUAUUGGGCCUAAAGCAUCCGUAGCCGGUUCUGCAAGUCCCCCGUUAAAUCCAGCUGCUCAACAGAUGGGCCGCGGAGGAUACUACAGAGCUAGGAGGCAGGAGAGGCAAGCGGUACUCAGUGGGUAGGGGUAAAAUCCGUUGAUCCAUUGAAGACCACCAGUGGCGAAGGCGGCUUGCCAGAAUGCGCUCGACGGUGAGGGAUGAAAGCUGGGGGAGCAAACCGGAUUAGAUACCCGGGUAGUCCCAGCCGUAAACGAUGCAGACUCGGUGAUGGGUUGGCUUCGCGCUAACCCAGUGCCGCAGGGAAGCCGUUAAGUCUGCCGCCUGGGUAGUACGGUCGCAAGACUGAAACUUAAAGGAAUUGGCGGGGGAGCA
rnacentral:rRNA from 1 species